rnacentral:rRNA from 1 species
UACGUAGGGUGCAAGCGUUAAUCGGAAUACUGGGCGUAAAGCGUGCGCAGGCGGUUUUGUAAGUCUGUUGUGAAAUCCCCCGGGCUCAACCUGGGAAUGGCAAUGGAGACUGCAAGGCUAGAGUUUGGCAGAGGGGGUAGAAUUCCACGUGUAGCAGUGAAAUGCGUAGAUAUGUGGAGGAACACCGAUGGCGAAGGCAGCCCCCUGGGUCAAAACUGACGCUCAUGCACGAAAGCGUGGGGGAGCAAACAGG